UUUCUCAAUGGGGGAAACCCUGAAGGAGCGACGCCGCGUGGAGGAUGAAGGUCUUCGGAUUGUAAACUCCCGUCAUUUGGGAACAAAACUUCCAUUUAACUGAUGGAGGCUUGAUAGUACCAGAAGAGGAAGAGACGGCUAACUCUGUGCCAGCAGCCGCGGUAAUACAGAGGUCUCAACCGUUGUUCGGAUUCAUUGGGCGUAAAGGGUGCGUAGGCGGUCGCACAAGUCGGAUGUGAAAUCUCGGGGCUCAACCCCGAAACUGCAUUCGAUACUGCGUGGCUCGAGUACUGGAGAGGAGACUGGAAUUUACGGUGUAGCAGUGAAAUGCGUAGAUAUCGUAAGGAAGACCAGUGGCGAAGGCGAGUCUCUGGACAGUUACUGACGCUGAGGCACGAAGGCCAGGGGAGCAAACGGGAUUAGAUACCCCGGUAGUCCUGGCAGUAAACGGUGCACGUUUGGUGUAGGCGGAUUCGACCCCGCCUGUGCCGGAGUAACGCGUUAAACGUGCCGCCUGAGAAGUACGGUCGCAAGAUUAAAACUCAAAGAAAUUGACGGGGGCCGCACAAGCGGUGGAGUAUGUGGCUUAAUUCGAUGCAACGCGAAGAACCUUACCAGGGUUUGACAUGUAAAGUGUCGUCGGUGAAAGCCGGCUAGCUGGGUUAAACCAGCGCUUUACACAGGUGCUGCAUGGCUGUCGUCAGCUCGUGUCGUGAGAUGUUGGGUUAAGUCCCGCAACGAGCGCAACCCCUGUGUCCUGUUGCCACCCCUUUAUUGGGAGCACUCUGGACAGACUGCCCUGUGAAACGGGGAGGAAGGUGGGGAUGACGUCAAGUCAGCAUGGCCCUUACACCCUGGGCUGCACACGUACUACAAUGCCCAGUACAAUACGAGCCGAAGCCGCGAGGCAGAGGAAAUCUUGGAAAACUGGGCCCAAUUCGGAUCGCAGGCUGCAACUCGCCUGCGUGAAGCCGGAAUCGCU
rnacentral:rRNA from 1 species